GUGAGGAAUUUUCCGCAAUGGGCGAAAGCCUGACGGAGCAAUGCCGCGUGAAGGAUGAAGGCCUAUGGGUUGUAAACUUCUUUUCUCAGAAAAGAAUUAUGACGGUAUCUGAGGAAUAAGCAUCGGCUAACUCUGUGCCAGCAGCCGCGGUAAGACAGAGGAUGCAAGCGUUAUCCGGAAUGAUUGGGCGUAAAGCGUCUGUAGGUUGUUUAAAAAGUAUUCUGUCAAAGAUUAGGGCUUAACCCUAGAUAGGCAGAAUAAACUUUUAAGUUAGAGUUUGGUAGAGGCAGAGGGAAUUCCCGGUGGAGCGGUGAAAUGCGUAGAUAUCGGGAGGAACACCAAAGGCGAAGGCACUCUGCUGGGCCAAUACUAACACUGAGAGACGAAAGCGAGGGGAGCAAAUGGGAUUAGAAACCCUUGUAGUCC
rnacentral:rRNA from 1 species